rnacentral:rRNA from 1 species
UACGUAGGGUGCGAGCGUUAAUCGGAAUUACUGGGCGUAAAGCGUGCGCAGGCGGUUUUAUAAGACAGAGGUGAAAUCCCCGGGCUCAACCUGGGAACUGCCUUUGUGACUGUAUAGCUUGAGUGCGGCAGAGGGGGAUGGAAUUCCGCGUGUAGCAGUGAAAUGCGUAGAUAUGCGGAGGAACACCGAUGGCGAAGGCAAUCCCCUGGGCCUGCACUGACGCUCAUGCACGAAAGCGUGGGGAGCAAACAGG